GUUCAUAUCCCAAUUAGCGGUGGAAAAGAAACCAACAGGGAUUGCCCCAGUAACGGCGAGUGAAGCGGCAAAAGCUCAAAUUUGAAAUCCUGCGGGAAUUGUAAUUUGAAGGUUUCGUGGUCUGAGUCGGCCGCGCCCAAGUCCAUUGGAACAUGGCGCCUGGGAGGGUGAGAGCCCCGUAUGGCGCACGCCGACUCUUUGCACCGCGGCUCCGACGAGUCGAGUUGUUUGGGAAUGCAGCUCUAAGUGGGUGGUAAAUUCCAUCUAAAGCUAAAUAUUGGCGAGAGACCGAUAGCGAACAAGUACAGUGAUGGAAAGAUGAAAAGCACUUUGAAAAGAGAGUGAAACAGCACGUGAAAUUGUUGAAAGGGAAGGGCUUGCAAGCAGACACGGUUUUACCGGGCCAGCGUCGAAAAGGGGGGAGGAACAAGAACUCGAGAAUGUGGCGCGCACCUUCGGGCGCGCGUGUUAUAGCUCGUGUUGACGCCUCCAUCCCUUUUCGAGGCCUGCGAUUCUAGGACGCUGGCGUAAUGGUUGCAAGCCGCCCGUCUUGAAACACGGACCC
rnacentral:rRNA from 1 species